rnacentral:rRNA from 1 species
GACGAACGCUGGCGGCAUGCCUAACACAUGCAAGUCGAGCGAGUGGAUCUCUUCGGAGAGAAGCUAGCGGCGGACGGGCGAGUAACACGUGGGCAACCUGCCUCAUAGAGGGGAAUAGCCUUCCGAAAGGGAGAUUAAUACCGAAUAAGAUUGUAGCUUCCCAUGGAGUAGCCGUUAAAGGAAUAAUCCGCUAUGAGAUGGGCCCGCGGCGCAUUAGGUAGUUGGUGAGGUAACGGCUCACAAAGGCGACGAUGCGUAGCCGACCUGAGAGGGUGAUCGGCCACAUUGGGACUGGGACACGGCCCAGACUCCUACGGGAGGCAGCAGUGGGGAAUAUUGCACAAUGGGGGAAACCCUGAUGCAGCAAUGCCGCGUGAGUGAUGACGGCCUUCGGGUUGUAAAGCUCUGUCUUCGGGGACGAUAAUGACGGUACCCGAGGAGGAAGCCACGGCUAACUACGUGCCAGCCGCCGCCGUAA